ensembl:lncRNA
AUCUUUGCUUAGAGAUCACCUCCUUUGGGUUGUCUUGUGAGCCCUGGUCCUUGGAAAGGGAUCUGAUUGCUAACUGAAGAACCUGAAAACAACAGAACAACCGGUGCUGUAGAUCUGUUAUGAGGAAAAUCCAAGUUCUGAUCCUGGAAGGCAGAUUUUAAAUAUCAGGAACAUCUUUUGCAUCUGAAUUCCACAAAAGCUCUUGAAUGCUCCUGGCAGUUUGGUGCUCCUCAAGAAUGCUCCUUUGUACAUCUCUCUAAGGAUCCAGCAACACACAGCAAAAUAUUGAGCUGGGCUUGAGCUGAGCUUCCCUUUUCUUCUAAAUUGUUCAGUGUCUUGCUUGUGCGACCCCGAAGCCUUCCCAGAGGCAGAUCCAACCCCUCCCUUCUGUUUUCUAAAAACAAUCUAAAACUAGUAUAUCCUCAUAACGUUACUGCUGGAAUUGAGCAGGAUUUGGCUUGGGAGGAAUGCUGCUCUAACUUCACACCUCAGCCUUCUCCCUGUCUUCCAAAAGGAGCAUUCUGCAAGAUCUAUUUAGAUAUUAUGCUCUCAUCAGAAAGCACAUUUAAAGCUCAGCAAUGUAAUAGUCUUUGUAUCACUAAUUAAAAUUCAGUAGUGAGGUUGUUUAAUUACUCCCUCCACUGAAAAUUCUUACUUUACUUUUCACAUUUAUUCUGGUAAUAUUGCGUUCAAGAGCUCAUCAGACUCCGAAGAAAGGCAACAUUUUUUCUCAUGAAGAUAAUCAUUAAACUGACAAAUAGUCAUGGCACUAUACAGUUAUCAAUAUUAGCACCACAGACCCAUCACUAUUAAAGCUCUUUACAGCAGGGCAUUAAAGUGCAUAAUGGGGGACAAAAUGGUGGGAAACAGCUCAGUUUGAGAUCCUUUCCUCUUAGCAGCCACCUCAAAUCAAUUCAUACCGAACACUCCUUCUUCCUGUACAAAAGCAAGAUAAACGAGUGCAUUUGAUGAUGUAAAAAAUUAAUGGCCUUGUUUGCUUUUUCAUUGCGGUUUAGGCUAAAGUGAUUUCCUUUCUUUUUCUUUCAUUUUUCUCAUUCAUGAUCUUAAGAUUUCAGAACUGAUACAUGACUACAACUGUCUGCUUCAGACGGUUUUGAAAUUCAGCUUUCAACUCUCACUCACAGUGAUGUAAGUGUAGUGGAGGGUAGAAUUCCCAAAUCAUCUUGUUGAAUCUUGACUUGAGUGAAAUAACUGCUUCACAGCUGCUCAGGCAUCUUCUCUGACCUCAGAAAAUCAGUGCAGGGAGAGAGACCACCCAAUUUCACAAAAAUAGGUUUGCCAUCCAUAGGCCGCCUCUGUGAUCUGUAUAAAUAAGCCCUUAUAAUCAGGUGAAGUUUGCGUAAGUGGUUAGCCUUGCUGUACUAAGGAGAAGCAGAACUGCAGCAAAUGGAAAUAAAAAACAAAAA